rfam:Felis catus isolate Cinnamon breed Abyssinian chromosome D3, whole genome shotgun sequence.
GCAGACUCACUCUGCACCUGGCUGCAGCCCCAGGCGGGUGCUUUUUCCGUCUGCCAGAGUAACAUCCCAGGGUGCUGUGACCACCUUGACCUGUCAUGGGUGAUGCAGUUGUCUGGGGACACGGUG